CCCACAACCCGAGAUAUCGACGAGAAAACAAAUGGGCUUCGGAUGGAGAACGUAUGGAAAGAGGGAACUACUAUUCUCGCGGGAUGAAAAACUAUCACUGAACCAAAAAUUGAUACUUGACUUUCACACAACAAAAAGCGGGUUGACACAUAAUAUAAUAACAGGUUGGAAAAAGACGUCAUCCGGGUCGGUCGGCCGGUCAAAACUAAUGGUUCUACGAGUGUGGUUUU